rnacentral:rRNA from 1 species
GAUGAACGCUGGCGGCGUGCCUAAUACAUGCAAGUCGAACGCACAGCGAAAGGUGCUUGCACCUUUCAAGUGAGUGGCGAACGGGUGAGUAACACGUGGACAACCUGCCUCAAGGCUGGGGAUAACAUUUGGAAACAGAUGCUAAUACCGAAUAAAACUUAGUGUCGCAUGACACAAAGUUAAAAGGCGCUUCGGCGUCACCUAGAGAUGGAUCCGCGGUGCAUUAGUUAGUUGGUGGGGUAAAGGCCUACCAAGACAAUGAUGCAUAGCCGAGUUGAGAGACUGAUCGGCCACAUUGGGACUGAGACACGGCCCAAACUCCUACGGGAGGCUGCAGUAGGGAAUCUUCCACAAUGGGCGAAAGCCUGAUGGAGCAACGCCGCGUGUGUGAUGAAGGCUUUCGGGUCGUAAAGCACUGUUGUAUGGGAAGAACAGCUAGAAUAGGAAAUGAUUUUAGUUUGACGGUACCAUACCAGAAAGGGACGGCUAAAUACGUGCCAGCAGCCGCGGUAAUACGUAUGUCCCGAGCGUUAUCCGGAUUUAUUGGGCGUAAAGCGAGCGCAGACGGUUUAUUAAGUCUGAUGUGAAAGCCCGGAGCUCAACUCCGGAAUGGCAUUGGAAACUGGUUAACUUGAGUGCAGUAGAGGUAAGUGGAACUCCAUGUGUAGCGGUGGAAUGCGUAGAUAUAUGGAAGAACACCAGUGGCGAAGGCGGCUUACUGGACUGCAACUGACGUUGAGGCUCGAAAGUGUGGGUAGCAAACAGGAUUAGAUACCCUGGUAGUCCACACCGUAAACGAUGAACACUAGGUGUUAGGAGGUUUCCGCCUCUUAGUGCCGAAGCUAACGCAUUAAGUGUUCCGCCUGGGGAGUACGAC